rnacentral:rRNA from 1 species
CAGCGCCACAAGUGGCAAUCAUAUUUAUUGGGCCUAAAGCGUCCGUAGCCGGUUUAAUAAGUCUUUUGUGAAAUCGUUAAGCUUAACUUAACGGUAUGCAAAAGAUACUGUCAAUCUUGGAACUGGGAAGGGUUAGAAGUAUUCUAGGGGGAGCGGUAAAAUGUUAUAAUCCCUGGAGGACUACCAGUGGCGAAAGCGUCUAACUAGAACAGAUUCGACGGUGAGGGACGAAAGCCAGGGGAGCAAAACGGAUUAGAGACCCGAGUAGUCC